CCCUUAGAGUUUGAUCCUGGCUCAGGAUGAACGCUAGCUACAGGCUUAACACAUGCAAGUCGAGGGGAAACGACAUCGAAAGCUUGCUUUCGAUGGGCGUCGACCGGCGCACGGGUGAGUAACGCGUAUCCAACCUGCCCAUCACUUGGGGAUAACCUUGCGAAAGUAAGACUAAUACCCAAUGACGUCUCUAGAAGACAUCUGAAGGAGAUUAAAGAUUUAUCGGUGAUGGAUGGGGAUGCGUCUGAUUAGCUUGUUGGCGGGGUAACGGCCCACCAAGGCGACGAUCAGUAGGGGUUCUGAGAGGAAGGUCCCCCACAUUGGAACUGAGACACGGUCCAAACUCCUACGGGAGGCAGCAGUGAGGAAUAUUGGUCAAUGGGCGAGAGCCUGAACCAGCCAAGUAGCGUGCAGGAUGACGGCCCUAUGGGUUGUAAACUGCUUUUAUAAGGGAAUAAAGUGAGCCUCGUGAGGCUUUUUGCAUGUACCUUAUGAAUAAGGACCGGCUAAUUCCGUGCCAGCAGCCGCGGUAAUACGGAAGGUCCGGGCGUUAUCCGGAUUUAUUGGGUUUAAAGGGAGCGUAGGCCGGAGAUUAAGCGUGUUGUGAAAUGUAGACGCUCAACGUCUGCACUGCAGCGCGAACUGGUUUCCUUGAGUACGCACAAAGUGGGCGGAAUUCGUGGUGUAGCGGUGAAAUGCUUAGAUAUCACGAAGAACUCCGAUUGCGAAGGCAGCUCACUGGAGCGCAACUGACGCUGAAGCUCGAAAGUGCGGGUAUCGAACAGGAUUAGAUACCCUGGUAGUCCGCACGGUAAACGAUGGAUGCCCGCUGUUGGUCUGAAUAGGUCAGCGGCCAAGCGAAAGCAUUAAGCAUCCCACCUGGGGAGUACGCCGGCAACGGUGAA
rnacentral:rRNA from 1 species